rnacentral:misc_RNA from 1 species
GAUGAAGAACGUAGCGAAAUGCGAUAAGUAAUGUGAAUUGCAGAAUUCAGUGAAUCAUCGAGUCUUUGAACGCACAUUGCGCCCCCUGGUAUUCCGGGGGGCAUGCCUGUCCGAGCGUCAUUGCUGCCCUCAAGCACGGCUUGUGUGUUGGGCCUCCGUCCUCCUCCCGGGGGACGGGCCCGAAAGGCAGCGGCGGCACCGCGUCCGGUCCUCGAGCGUAUGGGGCUUCGUCACCCGCUCUUGUAGGCCCGGCCGGCGCUUGCCGACACAUCAAUCUUUUUUCCAGGUUGACCUCGGAUCAGGUAGGGAUACACGCUGAACUUAAGCAUAUCAAUAAGCGGAGGA